GAUGAACGCUGGCGGCGUGCCUAAGAUAUGCAAGUCGAGCGGUAAGGUUCUCACUCUGUACUUAAAUUUUUGAGUAUGGUGUGAGAAUACACGAGCGGCGGACGGCUGAGUAACGCGUAGGAAUGUACCCCAAAGUGAGGAAUAAGCCCGGGAAACCGGGUCUAAUACCGCAUAAUCUCUUCGGAGGAAGGCCUUCGGGCGCUAUGGGAGCGGCCUGCGUAUGAUUAGCNGUUGGUGAGGUAAAGGCUCACCAAGGCGACGAUCAUUAGCUGGUCUGAGAGGAUGACCAG
rnacentral:rRNA from 1 species